GUGCUCGCUCCAGCAGCACAUGUGCUAAAAUUGGAAUGAUAGAAGAUUAGCAUCGCCCCUGCACAAGGAUAACACGCAAAUUCGUGAAACGUUCCAUAUUUUU